rnacentral:rRNA from 1 species
CUUAGUGGCGGACGGGUGAGUAACGCGUGGGGAUUUGCCCUAGAGUGGGGAACAACAUUUGGAAACGAAUGCUAAUACCGCAUACGCCCUUUUGGGGAAAGGCUUCGGCCGCUCUUGGAUGAUCCCGCGUCUGAUUAGCUUGUUGGUAAGGUAACGGCUUACCAAGGCGACGAUCAGUAGCUGGUUUGAGAGGAUGAUCAGCCACACUGGGACUGAGA